ensembl:snoRNA U8 U8 small nucleolar RNA
GUUUUAGGUAAGAUAAUCCUUACCUGUUCCUCCUUUUGGAGAAAAGAUAGAACAUGAUAACUGGAUGUCCCAUAAUAAAUAGCACGUGUCUCUGCAUAAUCAGGACUUGCAAUUCCCUGGAUGCUCCUGUAUGAU